AUGUGACCCUUAUCUCAAUAUUUAGAGUAAACACUCUGAAUGCUACCCACACACCAAACCAUGGGCAGCCAGACAGCUAAACUGGACUUCUUGUGACCUUAUCUCUGUUAACAGUAGCUGUUAACAAUAACCUAACAAUAGUUAACAAUCAAUAGAGUGAUUGGUAUGACCUCGGCCUUUCUCUAAAAUAACCUUCCGAAUGAACAUAUUAUGAAUUAUAGAAAGAAAACGAGAAAUGCAAAUUGCACAGUCAACCAAUUAAACGAAAAUGUUAGUCGGUAUAUGUCAGAAACGGCCAUCUGGCGUUUGCCUUUUCGCGCUCUAAAGAAAACGUCUGCGACGUUUUUCAUCAUACUAAAUGUUACAGAAUUGUUGAACUCGGCGUCGCUGGCGCCUAUUGUUUAGCCAGUCUUUUUCGAGUUUCCACUGCAUGAACGAAGAAAUGGGCUGUCGACGUUUCUUGGGAAGCAGGAAGACCUAUAUCUCUUCGAAGGCUGUCCUUUUUGGCACUUUUUCAUCGCGAUCAGUUAUGAAGACGUAGUCACCGAAAACAGUGUCACUGUUUAUCCCGAAGUGUACCAAGCCCGUGACGAUGGCUCAGAUAAGGUCGUUAUAAUUCAAGGCGACAACAAGCUUAAGCUGAAGAAAGUAUCAGUGGUAGCAGAGAGACUGCUAAUCCGAGAAAUAACCGAAAAUGGCGUCGCUGAAAGAUAUGUUGAUGGCACCUACUACGACAGGUUUCUUUACCAAGAUAGAGAUAAACAAGCCACACUGCUUCUGAAGCCCAAAAACUCUGGAGGCUAUAAUUUGCAUGGCUUCCUCAAUUUCACUCAUCAAAUUGAGCCCACUGGAAAUGAAGGGACGACACGGGAAUUGGCAGCGCAUAUAAUAAAGGAGGUCAAAUCUACUCACAAUGCCAAGCUGAUUAUAG